rnacentral:rRNA from 1 species
GAUGAACGCUGGCGGCGUGCCUAAUACAUGCAAGUCGAGCGAACAGACGAGGAGCUUGCUCCUCUGACGUUAGCGGCGGACGGGAGAGUAACACGUGGAUAACCUACCUAUAAGACUGGGAUAACUUCGGGAAACCGGAGCUAAUACCGGAUAAUAUAUUGAACCGCAUGGUUCAAUAGUGAAAGACGGUUUUGCUGUCACUUAUAGAUGGAUCCGCGCCGCAUUAGCUAGUUGGUAAGGUAACGGCUUACCAAGGCAACGAUGCGUAGCCGACCGGAGAGGGUGAUCGGCCACACUGGAACUGAGACACGGUCCAGACUCCUACGGGAGGCAGCAGUAGGGAAUCUUCCGCAAUGGGCGAAAGCCUGACGGAGCAACGCCGCGUGAGUGAUGAAGGUCUUCGGAUCGUAAAACUCUGUUAUUAGGGAAGAACAAAUGUGUAAGUAACUAUGCACGUCUUGACGGUACCUAAUCAGAAAGCCACGGCUAACUACGUG